GAGGGCGACCUACCAGUACUAACGCACUGGAUCCCAUCAGAACUCCGAAGUUGAGCAUGCUUGGGCGAGAGUAGUACUAGGAUGGGUGAAACAUUGGGAAGUCCUCAUAUUGCAUCCC
rnacentral:rRNA from 1 species